rnacentral:rRNA from 1 species
CUGGCUCAGGAUGAACGCUAGCGACAGGCCUAACACAUGCAAGUCGAGGGGCAGCACAAGGAGCAAUCUGAGGUGGCGACCGGCGCACGGGUGAGUAACACGUAUGCAACCUGCCUGUAAGCGGGGAAUAACCCGUUGAAAGACGGACUAAUACCGCAUAAUACUAAAUUACUGCAUGGUAAUUUAUUUAAACAUUUAUGGCUUACAGAUGGGCAUGCGCAUGAUUAGCUAGUUGGAGAGGUAACGGCUCCCCAAGGCAACGAUCAUUAGGGGUUCUGAGAGGAAGGUCCCCCACACUGGUACUGAGACACGGACCAGACUCCUACGGGAGGCAGCAGUGAGGAAUAUUGGUCGAUGGGCGAGAGCCUGAACCAGCCAAGUAGCGUGAAGGAUAGAAGGUCCUAUGGAUUGUAAACUUCUUUUAUAGUAGAAUAAAGUGAUCCACGUGUGGAUUUUGUAUGUAUACUAUGAAUAAGGAUCGGCUAACUCCGUGCCAGCAGCCGC